rnacentral:sRNA from 1 species
AUAAAAAGAAGAAAAAGAAAGACGAUCA